rnacentral:rRNA from 1 species
CCUACGGGAGGCAGCAGUGGGGAAUAUUGCACAAUGGGCGCAAGCCUGAUGCAGCCAUGCCGCGUGUGUGAAGAAGGCCUUCGGGUCGUAAAGCACUUUCAGCGGGGAGGAAGGCGAUAAGGUUAAUAACCUUGUCGAUUGACGUUACCCGCAGAAGAAGCACCGGCUAACUCCGUGCCAGCAGCCGCGGUAAU